CCUACGGGAGGCAGCAGUGGGGGAUAUUGCACAAUGGGGGGAACCCUGAUGCAGCGACGCCGCGUGGGUGAAGGAGUGCUUCGGCAUGUAAAGCUCUAUUGGCAGGGAAGAAGCAUGACGGUACCUGACUAAGAAGCAGUGGCUAACUAGGUACCAGCAGCCGCGGUAAUACGUAGGGGACGAGCGUUAUCCGGAUUCACUGGGUGUAAGGGGAGUGUAGAGGGUCAGGCAGGCCAGGGGUGAAAGCCCGGGACCCAACCCAGGGACUGCCCUUGAAACUGCAUGGCUGGAGUGCGGAAGGGGCAGGCGGAAUGCCUGGUGUAGCGGUGAAAUGCGUAGAUAUCAGGAGGAACACCGACUGCGAAGGCAGCCUGCUGGACCGCGACUGACGUUGAGGCUCGAAAGCGUGGGGAGCGAACAGGAUUAGAUACCCUUGUAGUC
rnacentral:rRNA from 1 species